UUCUAAUUUUCAUAUCUCUAUAACAGUUGGUGAAUCUAUGCAACCUCAUGAAUGCAUACAUAUUUGCACUACUAUAGACAGUAAACAUACAUCAAACAAUUAAGGACUUGUAUCCAUUUGCACAGAUGCAGAUGGAUGGAUUGUUUGCAUCUACACAAAUAUUUUGGGACAUCCAGUGAUGCUGUGCUACAUAUAGGAGCUUGUAAACAAAGGGAUACUGUUUGUACUUCAUGCAUAUCAGACCAUGUAAAUCUAUAUUUUUAGACCUCUAAAAUGGCAUUUUCUCACUGCCUAACAGGCAUACUCCCAUUCAUGCCUUUUCUUGCCAUCUACUUGUCGUUGCCAUCUACUUUUAACAGCUUCACAUAGAAACACACACUCAUUAAGGCAUAUUGCAUAGAGUUUCACACCCAAAUAUUUAGGAACAUGCAGACUCUUGCCUUUUGCAGAUGGACUUAAAAUGAACCAUGACUGUUGGGCAUUAUCAAUAUUGAACAUCUAGGGUGACAAAACAUUUUAAGACAACUAAAGACAUCAGUGAUCCUGGAUUCAUAAAGGCAACCCAGAAUAGCUGUGGCAAGGCAAUGAUGAUAAUAUGUUGAUGAUGAUCAUUUGUAUUUUACUUUUGCACUAAUAUCCUUUACAUUUUCUCACUAAUUGCUUUGUUAAACUCACAAUGUGGCUCUCAUUUGUUUUGCUUUAUUUUCUUUAUUUCAUAUAUCAUACCUAUUUAGGCAUAUCUGAUUCUUACCCAUGUUUUUUAAAAGGUAACACUACCAGGGUUUGAACCCUAGAUCACUCACACACACACUACACUGUCUCCACCAGCGCAUUUGAUUCUUACCUGUGUUGCAAAUGGAGAUAUGGAAAAACAUGGAACCCCCACUCAAUGUUCGAAAUAUUGGUAUCGCGCAAUGUAUCGCAACCUUGGGAUACAGAUACGUAUCGAUUAUUGCAUGGGAUAUAUCGUUCGUAUCGCGUAAUUUAUCGCGCUUUUUGGGUAACAUGAGGAAACAUUAGCAAAAUGGUUGAAUUAUUUAUUUAUUUAUUUAUUUUUUAUGAAACUUCAGGGAUUAUUUUUUU